CCUACGGGUGGCAGCAGUGGGGAAUAUUGCGCAAUGGGCGAAAGCCUGACGCAGCGACGCCGCGUGAGGGAUGAAGGUUUUCGGAUCGUAAACCUCUGUCAGCAGGGAAGAACGGUCACUGUGCUAAUCAGCAGUGAAUUGACGGUACCUGCAAAGCAAGCACCGGCUAACUCCGUGCCAGCAGCCGCGGUAAUACGGAGGGUGCGAGCGUUAAUCGGAAUUACUGGGCGUAAAGCGCUCGUAGGCGGUAUGGCAAGUCAAGGGUGAAAACCCAGGGCUUAACCUGGGAACUGCCUUUGAAACUGGCAAACUGGAGUUUGUGAGAGGAUGGUGGAAUUCCAGGUGUAGGAGUAAAAUCCGUAGAGAUCUGGAGGAAUAUCAGUGGCGAAGGCGACUAUCUGGCACAUAACUGACGCUGAUGAGCGAAAGCGUGGGUAGCAAACAGGAUUAGAUACCCGAGUAGUC
rnacentral:rRNA from 1 species